rnacentral:lncRNA from 1 species
AGAUCAAAAAAAUUAAAAAAAUCUAAAAAUUAGGCUAUGCGAUCAUGACAUACAACCUAAUUCUGAUACCAAUUGAAGAAAAAAUUAGCCGAUCAUAGCGGAUGCCAGAAAGAAAAUUGAAUAGAUUAGCAAUUAAAUUUUUUGUAACAUUUAUGAAAUCUUACCUUGAUUUACAGUGAAAGACUUAAUCAAGGUUGAAAAAUUUCUGAAGGUUGUUACUUUGCGAGAUUCGGAUGUCCAAAUCCUUUACUUCACUCGCAUGCCAACCAACGUAGGAGAGAGAGAUGAAGCUCUUCUUCAGAAGGGG